AACAGUCAAGUCACCUUGACUAGUUAGUGCCAGAAGAUGCCCAACUUGCAAGUAAGGAGGCUUUCCUAUAGAGAUAGAGCUUAUCAACUGGUGAUCUUCACUGUAAGAUGAUUGAGUGAGAACCUGGCUAAUUCAUUGGGGACCCCAAAAUGACAUUAUCUAUGGGUCUUUUCUUUGAGAGCAGUUCCAGUCUCCUCAGAGAUGAAUUCUCCAGUUUCUUGCCUGGAAAAUAUAUACCUGACUGCUGGUGUUCUUGGAACCAAUGUUUUUGGAGUGUAGGAAAAGGGACCUUAUUGUAGACUUUCAUUUAGUGCCCCUAUUUUCAAUAGAAUGCCCAUUCCCUAUUUUUAACUCUAUCUGGGGCAUCUGGGUCUGGGGCUUCUGUGGAUCAAUUUAGUUUGAAUAAACUUCCAAUCUCCUGCCAGAGUAGGGAAAAGGUAUUUUCCUGGCUGAGCAGGUUGAGGGAGGAGAACUAAGAGUGGUCUAGCUGCUUUUCUCGCACACAUGCAACCAAAUCCUCUGCUUUUGGCCUCUUGACACACCCCUGCUUUCUUUGGUCACUGGUGUCUCUAAUUUCUGAGCUUCCCAGGCAUUCCACAGCAUGAAUUGUCUUGCUUCUCAUUUUGCAGCCCCCACUCUGCAGACAUUUGCUCUUCAGUCCCUUCAGCUCUGCUAACCUGCAUCUACUUUCUAUCUUCCAAAAACGUCUUGGCAUAUCUAGUCUUCUGCUGCCUUCAUUACCGUUCUCUCUGUCUUUGUGGGAUUUUACCCCUUAAAAAACUAAUUUCUCUUCAUUUUAGCAUAGUUUUAGAAGAGAUAAUAGAUAAACAUGUAUUUAAUGUCAUAUUUAAUUGGAAGUCCUCCAAUUGUAUUUAUUAAAAUGAAAAAUUCACAUGCUCCUUGACUUGGAAAUCUCACUUAUGAUAAUUUAACUGUCAGAAAUAAAAGUGCCAGUAUUGUAUAGGUAAGUUUACAAGAGUGUUUACUGCAAUAGUAAUAGCAACAAUCAGAGUGUCCGCUGAUAAGGAACAGUUAUGUAAAUUAUGGUGUAUUUAUACUAUGGACUACUCUCCAAUCAUUAAAAGGAAUAAGGCAUAUUGACUUGGAAAGCCAUCCAUGAUAUAUUGCUGAGUAAAAGAGAAGGCUAUAGUAACCCCAUGUUUGUGAAAGAAAGUGAACUAGUAUUAUAUGUUUAUAUGUUUGUAUACAUAAAGAAUAAAGUGUGUAAGGAGUCAUACUAGAUUUUUAACAGUGAUUACAUUGGGGGAUGGCUUUGGAUGGGGAGUGGAAGAAUAUAUCAAUUUAACUUUAGAAACUUUUUUAUUGUCUUUGAAGUGUUUCAGUUAACCUGUGUUGCUUUUGUUAUUCAAACGCCAAAAUAAACAUGCUUAAAAAAAGUUGUAGAUGCAAGAAUGUUCACUGCAGCAUUAUUUAUGAUGGUGAAAAAUUGGAAAAUAAUAUAAAUGUCUGACAAUAAAGACUGGUUAAUACAUUUGAAAUAUCUAUAUGGCAGAAUAUUAGGAGCCUAUUAUAAUGAUCUUUUAGACAAAUUUUAAUGUUGUGGUAAAAUGGUCAUGAAUAAUGCAAGGUGAGAAAAGUAGAAUACGAAAUCGUAUAUACUUUGUAAUUCCAAUGUUGUAAUUAAAAUGUAAUGC
rnacentral:lncRNA from 1 species